rnacentral:lncRNA from 1 species
GUCGUGGGUAUGGAUGGCUAGGGCUCGGUUUCACAACUUGGACGCAAAGGAGGGAUUCGGUGGGGUGCCUGGGGGUCUUAUAUGGCGCAAAAGAGCAAGAAAUCCCGGAAUCUUCGGGAUUUGGAAGUCAAGCUCGGGACCAGUUGAGGUGUCCACGGCGGAUACGAAACGGAGAAGAAGAACAUGAGCUGUGGGGUCGGCUGUCAGUGAAAGAAAAGCGGGGGCCCGUUCAUCAUCCAAACAAAGAGAGGGGAGAGAAGGCGCGCCUGCGCGCCCUGGGCCGCAAGCUGGGCCGAGCUGAGCUGGGUGGGAAGGGGGAGCCAGGCGGGCUAGGUGGGCUGCGGGGUGGGUCUGGCUGGGUUUGCCUUUUUUUCUUUCUUUUUUUUCUGUUUUCUUUUUCCUAUUUCUCCUUUGUUUUCUAAAGUCUUUUUGAAAAGAGAUUUUAAAUCCUUUUGGAGAUAAACAAAAUACAUAGACAAAAAGCAAGCAAGCAAGUAAAUAAAUAAAUUAAUUCCAGCAUGAAUGCACAACCAUGUUUCUAAACUUAUAAUGAAUUUUAAUUUUGACAAGAAUAUUUUAUUUAGAUUAAAUGCCCACCAAAGAUACUUAAAUAAAUCAAAUUAAUUCCUAUUAAUAGAAUACAAAUUUUUUGGGUUUUACAAAUUCUACCCCCCCUUAAAAGAAUCUCGUCCUCCAGAUUGAACAGUGCAUAAACAAACAGGUGUGGACAUGAUUCUCUCCAAUCAUCCUCUCUUUCUCAAGUUGCUCUUGCCUCUAAAAACCGAUUCCAUUGUACUAGAAAAUUCAUGUCUCUUGUCAAGUACCAUACCUGGUAACUUAUCUGAAAAUUUAUUCCCUACACAGUCCUGAAGAUCAAUACCAUCACCCAGCUGAUUCACUGUAGCUGUAGGUGGAGCCUGCACUGCUACAUCCACACUGAUUCUCUCUCCCUUGGGUGUUGUCACAACUACUACUUUCUCUUUACACUUAAUUUCCGUAGCAUAUUUUUUCAUCCAAUCCAAACCCAAUAUCACAUCUAUGCCUGAGGUUCUCAUAACCAUGGGACUAACUGGGAAAUCUACCCCCCUUAAAGAAAGACUUGCUGAGGGGCAACAAUAUGAAACUGGUAUAGUCCCUCCCAGUGAGUUUACUAGCAUAUGGGUUUUCAUGGCAACUAGUGGAAUGCUAUGAACUCUAACAAAUGCUUGUGAUACGAAUGUAUGCGAAGCUCCAGAAUCAAAUAAAACUGUAGCGGGAAUAGAGUUGAUACUGAACGUACCCAUCAUAAUCUCCGGUCCCUCUUGUACUGUCUCUGCAGCCACAUGGUUCACCUUUGCUCCAUGAGAAUUAGAAUUUUGAUUGUUGUUCUGCUGGUUGAAUCUCUCCGGGCAAUCAUAUGACAUAUGACCUUCUUUUCCACAGCGAAAACACCUAGUAGGGGUAUUGGGAGCACUUCUCUUCAUAGAGGUGGCAUUUGAAUUUCCCGAGCGAGAAGUCUGCUGUCCACUCUGUGGUUGAUUAGGAUUACGCUGAGAUUGUUGGUUGCGAUCUCAUUGACCAACUGGUCCCUGGAACAUCUGUUGAUCACCCUGCUGAGAGUUGAAACAUUGGCAGUUGUUGCCUCCAGACCCUUGUGCUAGCAUCCUUCUCUUCUUGUCCUGGCCUUUGCGCAUGUUAUCCAACACAAUAGCACGGUUCACCAGAGCUUGGAAGGUAGGGUAGGUAUUUCCAGCCAGUUGCAACCUAAGUUCAUAGUAAAGACCUUUCAUGAAGAGACGCUGCUUAUCAGCAUCUUCUCUGACUUCAUUUGGAGCAUAGCGAGCCAACUGCUCAAACAUGUCAUGAUACUCAGCCACAGACAUAGAACCCAUCCUAAGAGAUCUGAAUUCUUCCUGCUGGAGCUCCAUCAUUCCUUCAUUGAUAUGUCGUGCUCUAAAGUCUCUGCAAAACUCUAACCAAGUGACAGGAGGAGCAUUGUUGGGACGAGCAGCUUGAUAUGACUCCCACCAAGUCUGAGCUGCUCCCUAAUGUUGUCCGGAACCAUACAACACUUUUUCCAAGUCAUUGCAUUGGGCUUUGUUCAGUUGCCUCUCCACAGCACGUAACCAAUCAUCUGCCUCCAUGGGAUCUGCUGAGUGUGUACAUACUGGGGGUCUUCCCUUCAUAAACUCCCCAUUCUUAUCUCUCUCAUGAACUGGUGGUGGUGGUGGUGGUGGAGGAGGAUGCUGUUGUAAGUGCUGCAUGAAAACGUGCAUCAUCUCAUUUUGGGUUUGCAUGAGCUCUUCCACAGUAAUUGGGUCAUUAUCACCAUUGCCACGGCCUCUGCCUCUGCCUCUUCCUCUUGCUGCCAUCUGCAUUUCGAGGUAUAUAGACACAUCUUAGUAAUGUCAAACAUGACAAUUACAAGAGUUAACAGAAUCUGAAAUUUUCUGGGUAACAUCCAACAUCAGCAGAUCAGGAAAUCAGUCAUACACCGUUGGAAAGAUAGAGAAAUUAUCUACAACUUUCGUUUAGAUCAUAUUAACAGAUUCCAGAGUUAGGUCAAUCAAAAACUGGGUACAACCGAAACUGUUUCAGAACUCCAGACUGCGCAGAAACCUCAACUUUAAACAGUCAUAACUCACAGCUCAUAACAGAUAAUACGGUCAUUCUUGCGGAAUUGGAAAGACAUGAAAGCCUACUUGUUCCCAGAAAAAUUUGAUGAACAUUGCACGAACAGAUUUUGAAUUACAACAGAUUGAUUGCAGACCGCUCCAGAAAACAGCAAAGGACAGAAACAGGAUUUUAACCAAACCCAACUAUUUAGUUGAUAAUCCUUAUGCCUUAGGCCUAUGGACUAAAUGAAAUUGUAGAGAAAAUCCACAAGAUCAUUACAUUCAUUACAAAGAUCCAAAUCAAGCAUAAGCAUAAUAACAAACCAAACCAAGCAUCAAAGGUUCACACUUCAAGCAUUGACUCAACUUGCGGUACUAUCGUUCUCUUCCUAUUAAGGGCAAAGAUCCUAAAUCUCCUAUUUCAAAGACGCCAGAAAGUGGUAAGACAAGAUUCUAAAAGCAUAUCAAGCAAGGGGUGGGGAUGAGAACAAGUCUUUUUUUUUAAAAAAAAAAUAAGCAACAAGGUGAAGAUGAAUAGCAAUGGAAAGGAUAUAGUAUAGGAGAAAAUAUCAAGGUUUAUAAACAAGGAUUUUAUGGCAAUUUCAAAUCCUUAAGACGACCAAUAUCUAACUAGGCUUGCGUCUGUCAGUCAAGAAAGCUUUGAUACCAAUUUGUCACACCCAUAUUUUAAGAACAAAAUAGAAUGCAUAAAAGACUCAUAUGUGCCCCAGAAACAGUCGCACACAUAAGUAGACAAAUCUCAAAUGUACCAUUGCAGUGUUUAUUACAUAGCGGAACAUAAUAAAUCACAUAGUCUCAUACAUAAAUGAUAGCAAGAUGUAAACAACGCUCUCGACGGAAGCACCACACAGGGACACUGCUGACUGGUUGACUUCAAGCCUAAUACUCAUAACGGUAAUCCUCAUUCCAAGCAUCAUCUUUUGCAUAACCUGGGGUGUUGGGAAAUUGCAAGAGUGAGCACAUAUCGUACUCAACAAGUAUAACCAGGGGUUCAUGAGGCUCAAAUAGCUGACACUGGUUUGACUGCAUUUAGCUUUUAAUGGUGGAUAGCAUGUUCAUAAAUUAAUAGCAAAUGUCAAGCUAGUAGAAAUAAUCCAUUAAUCACAUGAUCAAGUGUAAGCAUAAUUAAUCUCAUAGCAUAAACGAUAAUCAAAUGAACAUAACAACUUAACAAGCUCAUCGUCAUCGCAACAAGAACCCCCAAGGCCGCUCUUAACCGUGAGCACGGCUAGUAUACCAGUUUUACACUCUGUAGAGGUUGCACAUCUUUACCCAUGAGUCAUGAUUUAACCUUUCGCCCGAGGUAGCUAAUCUCUUAACCCCCUUCCUAGGGAGGUCGGCAGAGAUCACUAUGAAGCCUUUCAAAAGUUCGUCUAACGUGUUAGGGCCGUAAGGUUUCCUUUGCGAGCAGAUAUAGAUACCCCCCUUCCGAAUGGCACAAUAACGCGCAGCCUAUACACAUAGGGACAGGGGCUCGGACUAUACCCGUGUCGGUUCAGCCCCUCCGCCCUUUCGGGUAACCUCUAACAAGCUAGAAAAGGUGUUCAUACUGAGCUAAAGCCAGAGCCAUUAUAGCCCUCAUGGUUGCACUAUUGUCCCAGUGAUCACUUACAGACAAGAUCUCAUAUAGUUAUUUGUCAUCUUUUAACGUUCAUUGCAUAGCUAUUUAUCAUCUUACAAUAUCAUGGAUUACAUCAAGCACUAGCACAUCUACACCAAAUGCAUAUCAAGUAGGUAGCAAGGAAUCCAGGUAACAAUCAUCUAUGAUUUUGCUAAGGUCGAUAAGGUGAUAGCAUGCAUAUGAUAUAUAUGUGUAGUUAUAAGUGAAUAGGUAACAAGGCUGAUCCUAAGUUAUACUUGCCUGGAUCAAAGCUCUCCUGAGCCUACUGGUCUUCAAAGGCUUGGUCUUGCUCACCAACGUACGGCUCACCGUCUAUACUCGAUCAUCAAUCAACAACACGCAAUCCAAUGUAGACAAUCAUACACGAAGCAAACAAGCUAUUAUUAGAACAAUACACCAAACAGUGGUAAAACAAAUAUAAAAGUUUAUCAAAAUAUUUUACGCAGCGCUACGAUCACACAAAUGUAAAGUUCACGAAAAUCGGAAUUAAAACGUGGAAGUUAUGAAUUUUCUAAGAUUUCCUAUAGAGAAAUAAUUAAUUAAAUAAUACCAGGAAAUUAAAAAGUUUCAAAACAGUGAAAUAUUACUUCUAACAUGUAGAGCUCGUAAAUACGAAUCUAACGAAAUUUGAAUGAAUAUUUUAUGACCAAUUUAAGUUCAGUGGCAAUUCUGUAAUUACUGGAAAGCGUAAUUUUGAUUCAAACCGACGAAAAUACGUUUUCCAAACUGAAAAGCGUAAAGCCAAAAUUACGCCAGGGACCGCGGGUUGAUAUGUAGAUUUCUCCAGGGAUUCUUUAGCAAAAACGCAACUGAACCGCUAUCUUCUUUUAUCAGCCGUAGAUCUCCUAUCCGAUGGCCAGGAUUCCGUCCACGGGGUUAACGGCGGCGGCCGGCCGGAGUUGGGCCUCCCUACGGCGGCAUGGAAGGGCUCGGCGGAGUUCAUGGCCUCGGCGAUUUAGGGCUCCAUUCUACGAACCAAGCACACUGGGAGAUAGCGGGGGUGAUCGCGAGCUCACCUAGGCGUCCGGUUUACGUUGGGAAGGAGGAGAGAGCGCUCGCCGCGGAGAAGAGCGAGAACGGCCACGCCGAGAUCCAACACGUCGCGGGUAUAGAUGGCUAGGGCUCAGUUUCACAACUUGGACGCAAAGGAGGGAUUCGGUGGGGUGCCUGGGGUCUUAUAUGGCGCAAAAGAGCAAGAAAUCCCAGAAUCUUCGGGAUUUGGAAGUCGAGCUCGGGAUCGGUUGAGGUGUCCACAGCGGAUACGAAACGGAGAAGAAGAACAGGAGCUGCGGGGUCGGCUGUCAGUGAAAGAAAAGCGGGGGCCCGUUCGUCAUCCAAACAAAGAGAGGGGAGAGAAGGCGCGCCUGCGCGCCCUGGGCCGCAAGCUGGGCCGAGCUGAGCUGGGUGGGAAGGGGGAGCCAGGCGGGCUAGGUGGGAUGCGGGUUUGCCUUUUUUUUUAUUUCUUUUUUUCUGUUUUCUUUUUCCUAUUUCUCCUUUGUUUUCUAAAGUCUUUUUGAAAAGAGAUUUUAAAUCCUUUUGGAGAUAAACAAAAUACAUAGGCAAAAAGCAAGCAAGCAAGUAAAUAAAUAAAUUAAUUCCAGCAUGAAUGCACAACCAUGUUUCUAAACUUAUAAUGAAUUUUAAUUUUGACAAAAAUAUUUUAUUUAGAUUAAAUGCCCACCAAAAAUACUUAAAUAAAUCAAAUUAAUUCCUAAAUAGAAAACAAUUUUUUUGGGUGUUACAGGUAAGGAAAGUCAGGAAGUUGGUCAAGGUUAUUCACAUAAAAUAUUAGACUAGACUAUGGAGAAAUAAUUGCAUAAACAGCUACUACUAUAUGAGAAAUCAUAACAAGGCACCUCUGCUUUGGCAGGUUGACCCUGUUGUUUUUCUAUGUUUAUAUUUUUAUACAGGGUAUAUCAGGAUUGACUUUGGUAUAUUCAACUCUUCAUCAUCAG